rnacentral:rRNA from 1 species
GACGAACGCUGGCGGCGUGCCUAAUACAUGCAAGUAGGACGCAGUUGCGAACGGGUGAGUAACACGUAGGUAACUACCUAUUAGAGGGGGAUAACUAUUGGAAACGAUAGCUAAUACCGCAUACUAGUAGAUGGACCUGCGUUGUAUUAGCUAGUAGGUAGGGUAAUGGCCUACCUAGGCAACGAUACAUAGCCGAACUGAGGGGGGGAUCGGCCAAAAUGGGACGUGGAAACGGCCCAGACUCCUACGGGAGGCAGCAGGAGGGAAUUUUUGGGAAUGGGGGGAACCCUGACCGGGCAAAGCCGCGGGAGUGAAGAAGGUUUUCGGGUCGUAAAGCUUUGUUGUUAAGGGAGCGGUACUUAACCAGAAAGGGACGGCUAACUACGUGCCAGCAGCCGCGGUAAUAC